CUACGGGGCGCUGCAGUGAGGAAUAUUGCACAAUGGGGGGAACCCUGAUGCAGCAACGCCGCGUGGAGGAUGACGCAUUUCGGUGUGUAAACUCCUUUUAUAUGUCAAGAAAAUGACGGUAGCAUAUGAAUAAGCACCGGCUAACUCCGUGCCAGCAGCUGCGGUAAUAGGAGGGUGCAAGCGUUACUCGGAAUCACUGGGCGUAAAGGACGCGUAGGCGGGUUGGAAAGUCAGGUGUGAAAUCCUACAGCUUAACUGUAGAACUGCACUUGAAACUUCUAAGCUAGAGUAUGGGAGGGGGAGAUGGAAUUAGUGGUGUAGGGGUAAAAUCCGUAGAUAUCACUAGGAAUACCUAAAGCGAAGGCGAUCUCCUGGAACAUUACUGACGCUAAGGCGUGAAAGCGUGGGGAGCAAACAGGAUUAGAUACCCCAGUAGUC
rnacentral:rRNA from 1 species